UGUCUGCCUUGCUCGUUUGCUUACUUGCUUGCAUGCUAGUCUGUCCGCUAGGUUGCUAGUUCGCUUACUAGGCUCGCCUGCCUACCUGACUGCUUGCUUGGCUGCCUGCCUGCUUGUUCAUCUGUUUGCCUCCCUAUCUUUCUGUCUACUUGCCGGCCUACUUGCCUGCCUACUUCCCUACCUACUUAUAUACCUACCGGUUUGGCUGCUAGUUUACUUGCCUGCCUGCCUUCCUACUGCCUGCUUCGUUCAUGCUUUGCGUUGCAAAUCUUGGUAGAGAAUAAGCCGCUGUUCAAGGAAUUAUGAUGGCCCCUUGCUCCUUUCUUUUCUUAUUUGCUAGUCUCUCUCAUUCUUUGUCACUAGUUUCGUCCUCUAUCUCUUUCACGGUUUCAUCGAGACGAACGCGAAGCUAGGGAUGCGGUAUUUUCCUUCGUUCGUUGGCGCUCAUUCCUACUGAUAUUUACGCGCCUACAUGCUUUGUACAACAAGCGUCGCCAUUACACGAACCCCGGGAACGAUACUGUUCAAUAAUAUCAACGUGUUCUAGUACGGCGCUUGGUGUUUCUGCGACAUGAUUAUUAGACAAUCCUUGAAAUUUAUUUAAGUAUAUCAGGUUUACGGAGCGAAUAAUGCAAAAGCAGACCAUGUGACACGAAGUAAAUCUAAUUUUCGAAGCCGAAGCUGUGUCGGUGACAUUCUUGUACCUUGCGGAAAGAGCGCCAUCGGUCGACAAUGAUGCGCGCGCGCGCAAGUAGACGACUACGAUUCGAGGUUAGAACGUUAUAAAAUCAUUCUGGCAGCUGCAUUGGCGUAACCAGUCGAUGAUCGAUCGGCUGGAAAUCUCCGCCAACGUUACCGACGGAAUUAACCCUUGAGAUACUCUGCCUCGCGGGCCCUUCAGUCACUUGAAAUUAUUGGCGAGUGCGGUAAGUCACGCUGCAUCGAACUUCAAGGGCAACUGAUGUCGAAUGCGUCGCACCAGCCGUUGGAAACACGUCGAUGUUCAUUUUUCAUCGGUCAAGCUGAUUACGGGCUUAUUCUCCGCACGGCUCACGAUUGAUCGAGUCGCGGAGAAAGCGGUACUUUUUAUUCACUAUCGUUGCUAUUAUUUACAGUGCGCAUUUGUAUUGACGCACAGAAUGAUUAGUUUGCGUUGCAGUUUUAUAUAACCAGCGAACUAUUUAUUUCUUGCAGAAAUAGGUUGAGUUAUCCAAGACAGAUAUAUGUUGUGUUAGUUUAAAUUUGAAAUUGCUUUCGGUGCACUGUGAUGAAGAGAUCUUCCGUAAGCAACUUUGUUGAUUAUACGGUUAGGAAAACUGUGCUAAGUUUGUUUUUAAACAGUGUAGGAGUGUUUACCGGAAGUUGCACGAGAGCGGUCUCGUUCUGAUAAACGAUAAAUGUAGGUAAUUGGUAAUUGUAAUUUCUAUGUACACUAACUAGGAAGUGUAAUUACAAGAAAUUGUGAUGUACACAGCUUAAGUAACCUUAUAUCUUGAGUAUAUCUGGCUAUAAAACCAACGUCAGUUUCAUAAUUAAAUAACAAGUUUCAUGUUAAAAUUAGAGAUGGUACAUUAUCCAUUAAAAGUUGUAGUUUUCUUAUGUCAUGAGUGGUUUUCAAAGUAGAUGCAUCAGAACUCAGGGAAUUUCUUUAAAUGAUCACAAGUGGUGAAUUUAUUAUACUCGAAACAAAGGAAAUAAUCCUAAUCCUUGAACUCGACUAACCCUAGAUGUAACGGACGA